AAAAUUCUAAAUUAAUUAUCUGUUCUGCAUCUUUCUCAAGGGAUGCUAGUGUAGAAUCGGCGGAUUGAGCUUCUGUUAUUCUCUAGAUCAACUCAAGUUGAACAGUCAGGUGGGCCAAACAGGUGACUCUCUUCAGGUCCUGAAGUUGUACAUGUUGUGCGACACUUAUUGCCCUGCAUUCUGAAACCAUUAGGUGAGCUAAUAUAUCUGCACUUUUUCUGCUGAGUGCGUCGGCUACCACGUUGCCCUUACCCGAGUGAUAUAAGAUGUUGCAAUCACAGUUCUUGAGGAGUUCUAUCCAUCUUCUCUGACGCAUGUUGAGAUCUUUUUAAGUGAAUAUGUGUU
rnacentral:lncRNA from 1 species